AAAUAUGUAAAUGAGUCUACUUACUAGCAGAAAAAAACAAACUCAUUCAGACCAAAUGUGAUUUAACCUGAAUACUCUUCCUUAAUUAUGACGUAGCAGUGACUGUAUAACAAUUUAAAGGCAAUACAAUAAAACCUGUGAUUAGUUAUUGCCGUUGAUUUAUUGCUCUGCUUUGUGUUUAAUUGUUCAAAUAGAUUUUCCCUGUCAUGGGGCCCUGGUUUUUGGUCAAACAAUGGUUUUUUGACCACGUCUCUAUUCAAAGGGAACUGAAAGCAGAUUUAAAAGCAAGAUAUAUUUAACAGGAAGUUGCAUGCUUACUUGUUUGUUUCACAUGAGUGUGCGACAGCAACUACCCUCAACCUCACUUGACAAUCGAGCCUUAAAUGGCUUUAAAGCUUACAGGAUCUCGGGUGGUAUCAUUCAGUAAACAGAAAGAAACUGAUCCUCAUUUUCUCAUUUUCAUCUUUCAAGUGACUAAAUUACUUACAGAAAAUACCGUAACAACUCAUUUGUAAGAGACGCCAUUUUUAAAAGCAGUACAAUAGAUUUUGACCGCCCUUGAGUAAAGUAACUUCGACAUCAAUUUUGAUCAGUUGUUGCAAACAGACAUGUGCGUUUGAAAGGCCCAGACAGUUGCAUGCAUAGGUGCUUUCUACGGCCCGUGAAGCGUUACUGCUCUCAUGAGGCCAGGAUGCAUAAUAUCAUGUAGUAUAAAAACGUUGUAUAACCCAUCUGAAAUACGUUCCUGUGCUUAAAAGAAUAAACGGAAUGUUCGCCCUCAAAGACUAGAAAUUAGUCAAGGAACCGUUGCACGGACCGUUGGGUCACAUCACCAUUUGUGGGCCUCACAAGAGAUGCGUUUUGUAUCGUCUUUAAACACUUUGUGUCAGUAGAAAACAGGACCUUCGCUUUCAGCUGUGCACGGAGGAGCACGCGAACAGUCUCCGCGGGUUGACACAAAUCGGCACAACACCACUCGACAGGGCUCACGACUGUCUGCUGUUCCUCCAGCGAGUUGAUGACGACUGAGUUUGGCCAGUAGAUGGCAACACGAAGCCAUGCAACCGAUGCACUGGGUAAUACUUCAGCGGCGAUAAAAGCAAGAUGUAGGAAACGAGGAAAAAAAGUACAAGAAAUUGAGAACUGCUCCACCUGAAAGAGAAGGAGGGCGACAAGUGAGGGACCGACAUGCAGAGGAACCCAUGUGUCAACGGAAGACAACAGAAACUUAAAGGCCCCACCAAAAGGUUGAAGAGAUUGGACAGAGAGAAAAGGACAUGAGCUUUCUUUAUUUCCAUCAUGAUUCAGUCUGCCGCCUGGUGGAAGGAACCCAAUGAAGAUCAUGAGAAGGCACCGCUGGAAAGGACAGAGAGAGACACAUCAUCUCUCUUGAACAGAGCCUCAUGGCGCCGUGAAAGGGAGAGUGUCUAUUGAUCGGUGGGAAAAUGCCAGUGGUGCAGAGCAUGGAGGAGAUCGGCAAGCUUGAAGAACUCGCACUAACGCUGACUUGGACACCUUGGCCUCGCUCAAUGAGACACAGUCACCUCUGACGCACAGCGAAGAUGGUCUAUGGGAAUAAACCAGGUGCAAGUUACUGCUAUUUAACAGUUGUACUUCUGUAGGUUUGGAGGCCUUUAUAUUCUGAAAGAGGCACUACAUUACAUUGAAGAUGUGACACUCUGAAGGCAUGGCUAAAAAAAAAAAAAAAAA